rnacentral:rRNA from 1 species
CCUACGGGAGGGCAGCAGUGAGGAAUAUUGGUCAAUGGGCGCGAGCCUGAACCAGCCAAGUAGCGUGAAGGAUGACUGCCCUACGGGUGGUAAACUUCUUUUAUAAAGGAAUAAAGUGAGGCACGUGUGCCUUUUUGUAUGUACUUUAUGAAUAUGGAUCGGCUAACUCCGGCCCAGCAGCCGCGGUAAUACGGAGGAUCCGAGCGUUAUCCGGAUUUAUUGGGUUUAAAGGGAGCGUAGAUGGGUUGUUAAGUCAGUGGUGAAAGUUUGCGGCUCAACCGUGAAAUUGCAAUUGAUAUUGGCGGCCUAGUGUACAGUUGCGGUAGGCGGAAUUCGUGGUGUAGCGGUGAAAUGCUUAGAGAUCACGAAGAACUCCGAUUGCGAAGGCAGCCUACUAAACUGCCACUGACGUUGAUGCUCGAAAGUGUGGGUAUCAAACAGGAUUAGAUACCCUUGUAGUC